GUUUGGUUGCACUAGAAGACCCUCUAAGGAGUCGGCUGUUCAGUUUUUGUGACAACUACUUGACUACUGAUGAUAGUGGUUCUAUACUCUUUGGCGCAAGGGUCAACUCCACCCUCUCACCAAGGAGUCAAAAGUCAAAAUGGCUCCAAAAGUCAAAGACGGCAACGGCCAAAUUCAAGAUGGCGAUGGUCAACUUGCUGAACUUGAGGCUGUCCACAAACCCAUCUAUGCACAAACCAAUGGGUGAUGUCAGGGGAGGAAUGGUAAGAGAAGAAAUAAGAAGAGAACAUAUUAGAUGAAGCAGUGCAUGUAGCAGACUCUUAUUGCACUUUAGGUGAACGUCAAAACUCCAAGUGAAACACUGAGGUCUCCCAGGCUGGCAUUGAGGUGAGGACUGGAAGGAAGUGAAGGGUACGUGAGGUAGUGGACCAGGCAAAUCUCGGCUGUGUCACAGAGUGCUGGUGGGAUCUGUGGCAGUUGGCCAAGCAGGUUUAGGCAGAAUUCCAACAACCAACUACAACAAAGCCAAGGGCAAAGAGAGGUGGGAUUUGGUCCAGAAGGAAGUGAGAGCCAGGUUUGUGGAGCUGUGUGCAAGCCAGAUGGUGGGGAUGCGGCAGUAGGGUGCAUGGACAAGAUGGGAACAGGCGAUGGACUGCAAGAUCUCAUGGUCUUGGUUGUGGAAGGCUGAACCUUCCACAUCAAUUCUCUCAUCCAGUCUGUGUACAAUGGUCUGCCCAGCAGCACCAUCAAUACAUAACAUAAAGCAUCUCCAACUACCAAGACACCGAAUCACAUUUGUGAGAACAGGAGAACUCUCAAAUCCCCAAUCAAAAGCCCAGGCAGGCCUCCUUGGAAUAGCACAUGACUAGCAGAUGAGGGUGGACCUAGGAAAGCAACUCAGCGGCAUCUUUAGGAAGAAACGUAUGACUCUCUGUGGAGCAGAGUGGCACAAGAAGCAGACUAAAGAGAGAACCAGGAAACACACUGCUUUCCAAGCAAAUCCCUUUGGGUUUACUAAACAAGUGUUUGGCCAGAAGUGUAGAAGCCACCUUGCAUGCUCAAAAGAGGAUAUAGACAACCAUCAGAAGGGGACCUGGCAGUACAAUGGCUGGACCAAUGCAUAUGGUUCCAUGCCCCAUAAACUAGUGGAUGGUAUUGGAAUGGUAUCAUGUCCCAAGUAACAUCAAGGACCUCAUCUUGGAUUACUAUGAUAACAUUAAUCUUAGGUUCACUUCUGGGCCAAUCACAUGUGAGUGGCACUGACUGGAGAAAGAGAUCAUCACUGGAUGCACCUGACAGUAACAACAAUGUUAGUCCCAGGAAGCAGAUAGAUCCUUUCCGGCUUGGAGAGGGUAAUUACUUGGGCUCAGAUGUGUUUCAAGCCAGCAAAAUCCAGGUCCUUAGUACUGAAGAGAGGGAAGGUGAUUGACCGGUUCCACUUCUCUCUUGAAGGUAGCCGAAUCCCAUUGGUUACAAAGAAACCCAUAAAGAGUCUCAGAAAAACCUUCUACCACACUCUACAGGACGCUGCUUUUCUGUGACAAACCAAGAACUGGAGGAAUGGUUAACAGCUGUCAACAAAUUAGGACUAACGGGCAAAUUCAAUCAACAGCCUGGAAUACAAGGAGUCCAACAUUUUGUACACUAUGUACAAGAUAACCAUUUUGUACAUAUGUACAAGAUGUUGCAAUACAGUAGUGCAUGUUCCACCAUUUGUACAUAUUUCCCUAAAGCUUUAUUACGUGUGACACAUGGACACAUGGUGUAUUAGUAGCUUCACUGCAAUAGCCAAAAAUGUUGUCUAUCUCAGAAGGUUGGAAAGGAAACUAGGGCUUUUCUUUAAUCACUGUGAUCAUGAAUUUAAUCCUCUCUUAAGACGUUAGACUUUUCACACCAGUAUGUUUUGCAGUUUAGAGAUGGGAAACAUUGUGUUAGCAUUCAUUAGAAUUGUGGGUACGUCAGCAGGGAAUGUAGAUGUUUCCUUCAAAAUUGAAUGAAAAUGCUUCCAAACUGCAUUGUCUGUGUACUUAGAUCAGUGGGAAUAAAUAGCUUUAUUUGAUGCAGCGAAAUGCAGAAUAUAACACCUGGUGCAGUCUGGGUAGCUGUCAUUUCAUGUAUAUAUCAAACUGUGUGUGAUUACCACCUUUUUGACAAUGUGUCAAAGUAUAGACAAUAUUUUCAAUAUGCAUCGGUGUAAUACCCUAUAUUUAUUUGUAGUUGUGCUUGUCUGUGCUACAAGCACAGUGAUUACUGCUAUCUAAGAGAGUGAUCUGUAGACCAGCUGGCACAGUUAAUCAGCCAAACCCUGAUCGCAUCACUCCUCCCAUUGAACAGCUUGCCAUCUACUGUGAUUAGACUGCUUAUCUGUUGUUGGACAGAAUGUUGAUGCUGUGUGCUCACGUGUUGUGUGUAUACAUGUGCACAUAAGUUUCUCUAUAUGUGUUUGCAUGUACUGUAAAUGCUGAUGUGAAUUACUUUGCACUGUAUGACUUAAAAGCAAGAGGGAGCAUGACUGCUACCACCGCUGAUUUGUUUCUGGAGAGCUGCUGGUUGAUCUUGAGCAAAUUAAACAGGAAGGCUUUAGUAGACUGCAGAUCAUAAUACUCUACUGACAGAGAGAGAGGAGAGGUGGGAUGUUAUUUAUAUUGAUGUGUUGUGCCUAAUGUUAACAGCCCUAUUCAAGGAAAUAAAGGGGGAUCACGUAGAGCUGAAACGAUUGUUCAAUUCAUGAAUUUGUCGAUCGAUAGAAAAAUAAUCUGCAGCUAAGUUAUUUUUCAAGCAGAAUUGCCAAAUUUUCCCUAGAUCCAUCUUUUACAUUGUAAGGAUUUACUGCUUUUUAUUGUAUAAUGUGAUAGAAAACUGAAUAUCUUUAGGUUUUGGAGAGUUGGUCAGACAAAGCAAACAAUGUGAAGAUAAUACCUUGGGCUUUUAAAGGUUUUGUUUAAUAUAUAUUUCCUAUUUUUAAUGGUCUAAUUUUUAGGUGCUUCUCUAAUAAUUUAACUUUUAUUAGUGGAUCAAUUGUACACACAUUUUUUGUCCUUUAACUUACUAGCUACUGUUGGCGUCCUCCUGAUCGACACUACUCUUGGAGUAUGUGUUAGUGUGUCAGUGCUAGUAUUGUAGUGUUAGUAUGUCUUUUAUAUGUCUCCUUUGUUGUGACUGUUUGACUUUCUUUGUUAUAUAUUUGUUUGUGUGGGAAA